AUGUGUAGUAAGGUCGUCACUAGUGAGAAGGGGUCAUCACAACAUAGGUCGUGCAGAGCCAAACAUCAUAUUUUGCAUGUUGACAGUCGUAACCCACAACAGCUGCCAACCAAAUGCCAGGUAUCAAACUAUUCAGUGGUGCAAUACAUGCUACUAAACUAUGAGGAGCACAUUGUUUUAUGGAGCGGCGAUUUUGCACCCAGGCUCAUCUACACACCCCAUGCGUCAGUGGUGCAAUACAUGCUACUAAACUAUGAGGAGCACAUUGUUUUAUGGAGCGGUGAUUUUGCACCCAGGCUCAUCUACACACCCCAUGCAUUAACAAUAAAUUGA
rnacentral:rRNA from 1 species